UACGUAGGGGGCAAGCGUUGUCCGGAAUCAUUGGGCGUAAAGCGCGUGUAGGCGGCUCGGUAAGUCUGCUGUGAAAGUCCAGGGCUCAACCCUGGGAUGCCGGUGGAUACUGUCGAGCUCGAGUCCGGAAGAGGCGAGUGGAAUUCCUGGUGUAGCGGUGAAAUGCGCAGAUAUCAGGAGGAACACCGGUGGCGAAGGCGGUGGUCUGGGCCGGCACUGACGCUGAGGAGCGAAAGCGUGGGGAGCGAACAGG
rnacentral:rRNA from 1 species